AGGACGAACGCUGGCGGCGUGCUUAACACAUGCAAGUCGAGCGGAAAGGCCCUUCGGGGUACUCGAGCGGCGAACGGGUGAGUAACACGUGAGUAAUCUGCCCCUAGCUCUGGGAUAGCUCCGGGAAACCGGGAUUAAUACCAGAUACGACCACUUUAGACAUCUUCUGUGGUGGAAAGAACUUCGGCUAGGGAUGAACUCGCGGCCUAUCAGCUUGUUGGUGAGGUAACGGCUCACCAAGGCGACGACGGGUAGCCGGCCUGAGAGGGCGACCGGCCACACUGGGACUGAGACACGGCCCAGACUCCUACGGGAGGCAGCAGUGGGGAAUAUUGCGCAAUGGGCGAAAGCCUGACGCAGCGACGCCGCGUGGGGGAUGAAGGCCUUCGGGUUGUAACCCUUUCAGCAGGACGAAGCGAAAGUGACGGUACCUGCAGAAGAAGCGCCGGCUAACUACGUGCCAGCAGCCGC
rnacentral:rRNA from 1 species